rnacentral:lncRNA from 1 species
CCAAGACGAGUGAGCGACCAGGUUUCCUCGCAGCUCCCUCACGGCGUAAAACAACUGACACACUGUAUGGCUGUCGGCCAGAGUCUAUGUGUAGUUUCCAAAACAAUUUACCUCUACUGGAGCAAGGAAAUAAACAAAGAAAAAGGAAGAUAUAGAAUCCAGGAAGCAGAAGACGUAACGCAGGACAGAGAUGAAGGGAUGGUGAAAGAAAUUCCAGAGUGACAUCUGUACAGCAGACAUGGAGAACCACCAGACCAGACUAGAGCCAGAGGACAGAGAAAGCUGCGAGAGUUGCCCCCAGGAGAGCAGACAUGGAGCAAAAACAGUGCUGAAUUUUCUUAGACAGUCGGUCUUAUGAAAAAUUGUCCUGUUGGAAAGGGAGGGAAAUUUUAGCAGUACAUAGAGGCUGAACAAAUGAAAACAAAAAGACGUAGUUAGGUAAAGGAAAAAAAUUAAAAAUUGAACACACAAAAGUCAAGAGCAUUGUACACUUGUGAUUUAUCAGAUAACAAACUGCGUACAGUAAACAAAGUAGCAAUGUAAACGUUAUUAUAAAAGUGAAUUUAACCUAAAGUUAGUGAUUUUUGAUAAUCAGGUGUCAUAUCAGAAAGCUAAUCAUUAGAGCUGAGGGUGCAUUUUUUAGUGAUAGAGCGCUUGAUUGACAUGUUCAAGGCAUGGGUUUGAUCCCCAGGCAUUGCAAAAACAAAAGGAAAGAAAGAGGAAGAAAAACACCUCACUCGUUACUGUUUCAAGAAAGAAUAUAAACAUGGGAAUGUAUUCCAAAAUAAGCAAAUGAGAACUGUGUUUGCAGAACCGCACAGGAGUUGGGGCUUGCAGGGCUAGAUGCAGAACUUUGAGAAACAGUGCAAGGCCUCAGUCACGAGCUUUGGAUUGCUGUCUGGCUAGUGUGUGUACUUAUUCCAAUUGAACAAAAAUUUCAAGACCUUAAGAUGUAGCUCAGAGGUACGGUACUUGACUGGGAUGUACAAGGCUGUGGUUUCAAUCCCUAGUACCAAUAAAAUGAACAUUAAAAUGUGC